CAGCUGAAGAUUGCAGUUGCAGUGCUGUAGGGGAUGUCAAGGACAAAACCCGUGCGUCCGUGGAGUGGUGCGGGGCAAGGGGGGAAACGGAAAGCCUCCGCAGAAGCUGAUGCCAGCGGCCUUCCUCUGAAGCGCAGCCAUGUGGAAAGCCAGGGGAGGAGCACCGAGUGUGGCACAGCACCCAAGAGAGG